ACUACGGUGCUGAAGUAACAAAUGCCCUGCUUCCAGGAAAAGCCUCUAAGCAUCAGGUAACAUUAAAUCGUACCCCAAACCGACACAGGUGGUCAGGUAGAGAAUACCAAGGCGCUUGAGAGAACUCGGGUGAAGGAACUAGGCAAAAUGGUGCCGUAACUUCGGGAGAAGGCACGCUGGUGUGUAGGUGAAGCCCCUGCGGGUGGAGCUGAGACCAGUCGAAGAUACCAGCUGGCUGCAACUGUUUAUUAAAAACACAGCACUGUGCAAACACGAAAGUGGACGUAUACGGUGUGACGCCUGCCCGGUGCCGGAAGGUUAAUUGAUGGGGUUAUCCGUAAGGAGAAGCUCUUGAUCGAAGCCCCGGUAAACGGCGGCCGUAACUAUAACGGUCCUAAGGUAGCGAAAUUCCUUGUCGGGUAAGUUCCGACCUGCACGAAUGGCGUAAUGAUGGCCAGGCUGUCUCCACCCGAGACUCAGUGAAAUUGAACUCGCUGUGAAGAUGCAGUGUACCCGCGGCAAGACGGAAAGACCCCGUGAACCUUUACUAUAGCUUGACACUGAACAUUGAGCCUUGAUGUGUAGGAUAGGUGGGAGGCUUUGAAGCGUGGACGCCAGUCUGCGUGGAGCCAACCUUGAAAUACCACCCUUUAAUGUUUGAUGUUCUAACGUUGGCCCCUGACCGGGGUUGCGGACAGUGUCUGGUGGGUAGUUUGACUGGGGCGGUCUCCUCCCAAAGCGUAACGGAGGAGCACGAAGGUUAGCUAAUCCUGGUCGGACAUCAGGAGGUUAGUGCAAUGGCAUAAGCUAGCUUGACUGCGAGCGUGACGGCGCGAGCAGGUGCGAAAGCAGGUCAUAGUGAUCCGGUGGUUCUGAAUGGAAGGGCCAUCGCUCAACGGAUAAAAGGUACUCCGGGGAUAACAGGCUGAUACCGCCCAAGAGUUCAUAUCGACGGCGGUGUUUGGCACCUCGAUGUCGGCUCAUCACAUCCUGGGGCUGAAGUAGGUCCCAAGGGUAUGGCUGUUCGCCAUUUAAAGUGGUACGCGAGCUGGGUUUAGAACGUCGUGAGACAGUUCGGUCCCUAUCUGCCGUGGGCGCUGGAGAAUUGAGGGGGGCUGCUCCUAGUACGAGAGGACCGGAGUGGACGCAUCACUGGUGUUCGGGUUGUCAUGCCAAUGGCACUGCCCGGUAGCUAAAUGCGGAAGAGAUAAGUGCUGAAAGCAUCUAAGCACGAAACUUGCCCCGAGAUGAGUUCUCCCUGAGACUUUAAGUCUCCUGAAGGAACGUUGAAGACGACGACGUUGAUAGGCCGGGUGUGUAAGCGCAGCGAUGCGUUGAGCUAACCGGUACUAAUGAACCGUGAGGCUUAACCUU
rnacentral:rRNA from 2 species